UACGGGGGGGGCAAGCGUUGUUCGGAAUUACUGGGCGUAAAGCGUACGUAGGCGGCUUUGUAAGUUAGAGGUGAAAGCCCGGGGCUCAACUCCGGAAUUGCCUUUAAGACUGCAUCGCUUGAAUCAUGGAGAGGUGAGUGGAAUUCCGAGUGUAGAGGUGAAAUUCGUAGAUAUUCGGAAGAACACCAGUGGCGAAGGCGGCUCACUGGACAUGUAUUGACGCUGAGGUACGAAAGCGUGGGGAGCAAACAGG
rnacentral:rRNA from 1 species